rnacentral:rRNA from 1 species
CCAAAUGACCGUAGGGUGCAGUCUGAUGCAGCCCGCCGCGUGAGUGAUGAAGGCCUUCGGGUUGUAAAGCUCUUUCACUAGGGAAGAAAAUGACUGUACCUAUAUAGGAUGGCCCGGACAAUUUCAUGCCAGGACCCCCGGUACUAUAAUAUGCC